UGGAUCUGAGUGGACCUGGGUUCCACUCCUGCGAUGUGACAGUAGGAAACAGAUGUGAUGACCAGAGGUGCAGCAGCCACCAUGUGACCAUGAGGAGGACAUGUAUAGCUAUGACAGAGCAGGAAAACAGAGAUCCCACGUCCCCAGGGACAUCUUUGAGCUACUGUAUCAGCUCAGGACUGCCUUCUCCCAGACUUCUUAUUGGACAAGCCAAAUAAACUCCUCCUUUGUUUAAGUCUCUCUGCAGGCAUUUCCUGUUACUUACUGCCUAAUAUGUUCCUAGCUGAUGAGAUUCAACCAUAAGCAGUUUGGCUCCAG
rnacentral:lncRNA from 10 species